rnacentral:rRNA from 1 species
AUUGAACGCUGGCGGCAUGCUUUACACAUGCAAGUCGAACGGCAACGGGGAGAAGCUUGCUUCUCUGUCGGCGAGUGGCGAACGGGUGAGUAUAGCAUCGGAACGUGCCAAGUAGUGGGGGAUAACCAAACGAAAGUUUGGCUAAUACCGCGUAAGCUCCAAGGAGGAAAGUAGGGGACCUAAAUAAGGCCUUACGCUAUUUGAUCGGCCGAUGUCGGAUUAGCUAGUUGGUGGGGUAAUGGCUCACCAAGGCAAUGAUCCGUAGCGGGUCUGAGAGGACGAUCCGCCACACUGGGACUGAGACACGGCCCAGACUCCUACGGGAGGCAGCAGUGGGGAAUUUUGGACAAUGGGGGAAACCCUGAUCCAGCCAUGCCGCGUGUAUGAAGAAGGCCUUAGGGUUGUAAAGUACUUUUGUUAGGGAAGAAAAGCUAGUUUUUAAUAAAAAUUAGUGAUGACGGUACCUAAAGAAUAAGCACCGGCUAACUACGUG